AUACUGUUUUAGUUUAUAAACAUGAUAAUUGGGUGUCCAUGUCCUUGUGUGAUGUGUACCAUACAUUAAAUCAUUUUACAACAUGAGUACAUUAUUUCCCUGUUG